AUUGAACGCUGGCGGAAUGCUUUACACAUGCAAGUCGAGCGGCAGCACGGGGGCAACCCUGGUGGCGAGCGUCGCACGGGUGAGUAACACAUCGGAACAUGCCCAGUCGUGGGGGAUAACACUUCGAAAGAAGUGCUACUACCGCCUACGUCCUGCGGGAGCAAGCGGGGGAUCGCAAGACCUCGCGCGCUUUUAGUGGCCGAUGUCAGAUUAGCUAGUUGGUGGGGUAAAGGCCUACCAAGGCAACGAUCUGUAGCUGGUCUGAGAGGAUGAUCAGCCACACUGGGACUGAGACACGGCCCAGACGCCUACGGGAGGCAGCAGUGGGGAAUGUUGGACAAUGGGGGCAACCCUGAUCCAGCCAGUCCGCGUGAGUGAAGAAGGCCUUCGGGUUGUAAAGCUCUUUCGGCAGGAACGAAACGGUGAGCUCUAACAUAGAGUGCUAAUGACGGUACCUGAAGAAGAAGCACCGGCUAACUACGUG
rnacentral:rRNA from 1 species